GGAUACUAUAUUUCUUGACCUCUGAGUGGCUGCAGGACCUCAAGAAAGUGUCUGUCCUGAUCUGGGUCUCAGUUUCUCUGUCUCUGAAAUGGGCACAUUGACUGGGGGCUUCUUUCAGGCAGGGAGGUCAUCGCCCCUGAGGUCAGAGGCCAGGCAGCGCUGAGGCACGUCCUAAUGCACUAGGUGUGAUGUCACCUCAGGGUCACAUCUAGAAAAUGCGAUUAAUGAAAGUCCUCGUCCCUCCUGGGGCUGUCGGGGGCACCGCUGUGGGUGCUGAGCUCGCACAGAGCCCAGCCCUACUGCAGCCUCCAGAGGUUGGGGCACCUGGUGGUCUUGGCUCUGGACACCAGGGGGCGCCUGGGCCUCACUGAAGGAGGACUGGUGCACCUUCCAACUCUUCCUGGUGGAUGAAAUGCUUAUUCUGACAGUGACAUUGUUCAGAACCCCCAGAGCUCAGCGGUCUCUUGCACCUUCACUCAGCCCUUAUUCCUUUGUCAAGUUCAUAUCCAACAGGUAUCAGAAAUGUCUGCCUACCCUCAGGGGUUCCAGGCCUGGCAGGGGGAGGGACAUUGAAUAACUAACCAGGGGCCCUCCUGAGACAAGCUCGGCCCAAGUCAAGGGGACUGGAAGAGCAUGUCCCAGAGAGCUGGACUGGUGGUGGGGGUGAUGUCCAGGAAGACUGUUCUAGAAGGAUGAGAUUUUAGCUCAAAUCCGAAGGCGAGCCUUUGGUAUUAAGGGAAGGGGUUCCCAGCAGAGGUUCCCAGCAUGAGCAAAGGUCUGGCCCGGAGGAGGCGGGUCAGAGCCCAGACCACAGACAAGAGAGCAAAGGAGACGCAGGGGAUGCGGAGGGUGGGGUGGGCAGGGCAGGUAAAGGGGUUUGGACUGUCUCUUGAGGGUACUGGGGAGCCAUGGAGGAGGUUGGAGCAGAGAAGGGGCAGGGCUGGGGAAGGGCUUGGAGGUCUGGGUAGGUCUCCAGGGAGGCCUCAGAAGUGAGAAAAUGGUGACGAGAUGGCCCCAGGGGGCAGAAACAGGGCCCCUGUGACUAGUGUGCCCCCUCGCAGAUCGGACAGCCCACACUGCUGCUGUAUGUGGACGCGGGCCCUGAGACCAUGACCAAGCGGCUCCUGAAGCGCGGAGAGACCAGUGGGCGCGUGGACGACAACGAAGAGACCAUCAAGAAGCGGCUGGAGACCUACUACAAGGCCACAGAGCCCGUCAUCGCCUUCUACGAGAAACGUGGCAUCGUUCGCAAGGUCAAUGCCGAAGGCUCCGUGGACGAUGUCUUCUCGCAGGUGUGCACCCACUUGGACACCCUCAAGUAGCCAAGCUGGAGCCCCUUCCCCUGCUCAGAGCCCCGCCCUGCCCUCAUCCUGACUGGGCCCUCCCGGCCUGCGCUCAGCGCCGCCGCCCUGCCCGGCUGGAGCACAGGCAGAGGAAGCCACUUUAUCCUGUUUUCAUGGACAGCCGAACACUAAAGGAAUUUCCAAG
rnacentral:lncRNA from 1 species